rfam:Vitis vinifera, whole genome shotgun sequence of line PN40024, unoriented chromosome 15, chr15
GGGCGAAGGUCCCAGCAGAGAGGUGCGGUCUCAGAGAUGAGAAUGGAAGUGCCUUUCUAACACUUAGAUAAUUGCCUUCGCAGAUUAAUGAUAGGCCGAAUGAAGGAUGCUCCAUAAUUUUGUCUCAUUUUGGAGCGUCUGGAACCCUCGGCUACAAUUUC